rnacentral:rRNA from 1 species
GACGAACGCUGGCGGCGUGCUUAACACAUGCAAGUCGAACGGAAAGGCCCUGCUUUUGUGGGGUGCUCGAGUGGCGAACGGGUGAGUAACACGUGAGCAACCUGCCCUUGACUUUGGGAUAACUUCAGGAAACUGGGGCUAAUACCGGAUAGGAGCUCCUGCUGCAUGGUGGGGGUUGGAAAGUUUCGGCGGUUGGGGAUGGACUCGCGGCUUAUCAGCUUGUUGGUGGGGUAGUGGCUUACCAAGGCUUUGACGCGUAGCCGGCCUGAGAGGGUGACCGGCCACAUUGGGACUGAGAUACGGCCCAGACUCCUACGGGAGGCAGCAGUGGGGAAUAUUGCACAAUGGGCGGAAGCCUGAUGCAGCAACGCCGCGUGCGGGAUGACGGCCUUCGGGUUGUAAACCGCUUUCGCCUGUGACGAAGCGUGAGUGACGGUAAUGGGUAAAGAAGCACCGGCUAACUACGUG